GGGGAGAAAAGGAUUUUUGGAGAGAGAGGGGGAGUGGGGGACAAUAGAAAAAAAGGAUUUUGGAUAAAAAUAGGGACAAAGAACUACCGUAUUGAGGGUUUUUUGAGUUCCUUUUUCUGAUUUUGGGUUCUUGUUCAUUCAUAGAUAAAAGGAAAAAAAAGAUUUCAAUUCUUCUUAGUUUCAAUUUGAUUCUAAAUUCGAAAAUACACAAAUAUUUUCAAGUUUCCUCUCUGAUUUUUGGGUUCCGAAAAUAUGGAGAUUAGCUGAGGUCCGUGGACUGCUCAUGAGGUUCAAAUUCGUGGUUCCGAAUCCAUUUUUAUUGCUGUCUUGCUCGUUUGCUGCUGGACAUUCGAAUUCCGGUGCCGGAUUUGCUUGUAAUAGCUUCCGAACAGAAGUAAUCGAAAAACUCUUAUUCAGGAUCUGAGACAGGUGCAUCAGGCGGUCCUACCGGUGUGCAUCUCCGUUAUCCCCAAGCCUAGUGGUGAGCUGUCUUUCCUGAGCCGUUUCGCAAUACCUAGUGUCUCUCUUUGUAUUUGUAUUCUGUCUAUUCUAUGUUCAGACGGUAUUUGGAAGUUUGUAUAAUUUAUUAGAUGCACAUACACUUGUGACAUCAGGUCCUGGCACACACAUUAGAAGAAUUAUGAUUUGAAUUACUAUUUUGGUUUUAUUUAUUUAAACCUCUUAUUUUCUUGAA